UACGAGGGGGGCAAGCGUUGUCCGGAAUUAUUGGGCGUAAAGCGCACGUAGGCGGCUUAGAAAGUCGGAUGUGAAAUCCCUCGGCUUAACCAAGGAAGUGCAUCCGAAACUGCUGAGCUUGAGUACGAAAGAGGAUCGCGGAAUUCCCGGUGUAGAGGUGAAAUUCGUAGAUAUCGGGAGGAACACCAGUGGCGAAGGCGGCGAUCUGGGUCGAUACUGACGCUGAGGUGCGAAAGCGUGGGGAGCAAACAGGG
rnacentral:rRNA from 1 species